GAUGAACGCUAGCGGCAGGCUUAAUACAUGCAAGUCGAGGGGUAACAUGGGGUAGCAAUACUCUGAUGACGACCGGCAAACGGGUGCGGAACACGUACGCAACUUUCCCAAAACUGGUGAAUAGCCCUCCGAAAGGAGGAUUAAUACACCGUAACAUAUAGAGGUGGCAUCGCCUUUAUAUUAUAGCUCCGGCGGUUUUGGAUGGGCGUGCGCCUGAUUAGGUAGUUGGUGUGGUAACGGCUCACCAAGCCUACGAUCAGUAACUGGUGUGAGAGCACGACCAGUCACACGGGCACUGAGACACGGGCCCGACUCCUACGGGAGGCAGCAGUAAGGAAUAUUGGUCAAUGGACGAAAGUCUGAACCAGCCAUGCCGCGUGAAGGAUGAAGGCCCUC
rnacentral:rRNA from 1 species